UGGUCGACCUGCAGGCGGCCGCGAAUUCACUAGUGAUUAGAGUUUGAUCGUGGCUCAGAUUGAACGCUAGCGGAAUGCUUUACACAUGCAAGUCGAGCGGCAGCGCGGGGCACCUGGCGGCGAGCGCCGAACAGUGAGGCAUAGGAACAUGUCCAUGUCGUGGGGGAUAGCCCGGCGAAAGCCGGAUUAAUACCGCAUACGUCCGAGAGGAGAAAGUGGGGGACCCGCAAGGGCCUCACGCGAUUGGGUUGGCCGAUGUCCGAUUAGCUAGUUGGUGAGGUAAAGGCUCACCAAGGCGAUGAUCGGUAGCUGGUCUGAGAGGAUGAUCAGCCACACUGGGACUGAGACACGGCCCAGACUCCUACGGGAGGCAGCAGUGGGGAAUUUUGGACAAUGGGGGCAACCCUGAUCCAGCCAUUCCGGAGUAAGAAGGCCUUUAGGUUGUAAAGCUCUUUUGUCCGGAACGAAGGGAGCACGUGAAUAUGGUUCGCUACUGACG
rnacentral:rRNA from 1 species